rnacentral:rRNA from 1 species
GAGUUUGAUCCUGGCUCAGGACGAACGCUGGCGGCGUGCCUAACACAUGCAAGUCGAACGGACGAGGAGGAGCUUGCUUCUCCAAGUCAGUGGCGGACGGGUGAGUAACGCGUGAGUAACCUGCCCUUCAGAGGGGGAUAACGUCUGGAAACGGACGCUAAUACCGCAUAAGCCCACGGCUCGGCAUCGACCAGAGGGAAAAGGAGCAAUCCGCUUUGAGAUGGCCUCGCGUCCGAUCAGCUAGUUGGUGAGGUAACGGCCCACCAAGGCGACGAUCGGUAGCCGGACUGAGAGGUUGAACGGCCACAUUGGGACUGAGACACGGCCCGGACUCCUACGGGAGGCAGCAGUGGGGGAUAUUGCACAAUGGGGGAAACCCUGAUGCAGCGACGCCGCGUGGAGGAAGAAGGUUUUCGGAUUGUAAACUCCUGUCGUUAGGGACGAUAAUGACGGUACCUAACAAGAAAGCACCGGCUAACUACGUGCCAGCCGCCGCGGUAAUAC